rnacentral:rRNA from 1 species
AGUGAACGCUGGCGGUAUGCCUAACACAUGCAAGUCGAACGGCAACACAAUAAGAUCUUGCUCUUACGGGUGGCGAGUGGCGGACGGGUGAGGCAUACAUCGGCAUCUACUUUUUCUUGGGUGAUUACGUAGGACAGCUUACGCUACUACCUCAUAUGACCUACGGGUGAAAUCAGGGGAUCUUCGGACCUUGCGCGAUUCUAUGAGCCGAUGUCGGAUUAGCUAGUUGGCGGGGUAAAGGCCCACCAAGGCGACGAUGCGUAGCUGGUCUGAGAGGAUGAUCAGCCACACUGGAACUGAGACACGGUCCAGACUCCUACGGGAGGCAGCAGUGGGGAAUAUUGGGCAAUGGGCGAAAGCCUGACGGAGCCAUGCCGCGUGGGUGAAGAAGGCCUUCGGAUCGUAAAACUCUGUUAUUAGGAAAGAAAAGAAGCAGAUGUAAACAUGGAUGUCCUGACGGUACCUAAAGAGAAAGCAACGGCUAACUUCGUG